CCCUACGGGGUGCAGCAGGCAAUAAAAAUGCAGGCUUCUCAUAAGCCCAACGGUAGGCUGAUUUUUUUGGAUGCAGGGAAUGGAUAAAUACUCCGUAGGGGGGUAUUUUUUUUAUUGACUCUUAAACAUAAUGAUGUUAUUGUAUAAAUACAAUAAACAUAAUAAUGAAAGUGAGCAAUUGUAUAUGAUGGACUUAAGUAACCUUACAAAGAUGAUCGAUAUCAGCAGCGUGCGCGCGGAUGUAACGCUGGAGGAACUGGACCGGCUGGCGGAAGCGGCCCGGAAAUAUAAAUUUUACGCUGCUUUUACGAUGCCAUGCUUUACCUCGCUUUUGAUAGAGAAACUGAAAGGGAGCGAGACGCUGGCGGGAGGGC
rnacentral:rRNA from 1 species